rnacentral:rRNA from 1 species
UCAUAAAGUGCGUCGUAGUCCGGAUUGGAGUCUGCAACUCGACUCCAUGAAGUCGGAAUCGCUAGUAAUCGUGGAUCAGAAUGCCACGGUGAAUACGUUCCCGGGCCUUGUACACACCGCCCGUCACACCAUGGGAGUGGGUUGCAAAAGAAGUAGGUAGCUUAACCUUCGGGAGGGCGCUUACCACUUUGUGAUUCAUGACUGGGGUGAAGUCGUAACAAGGUAACCGUAGGGGAACCUGCGGUUGGAUCACCUCCUUACCUUAAAGAA